GACGAACGCUGGCGGCGUGCUUAACACAUGCAAGUCGUACGGUAAGGCCCUUUCGGGGGUACACGAGUGGCGAACGGGUGAGUAACACGUGAGUAACCUGCCCACAACUUUGGGAUAACGCUAGGAAACUGGUGCUAAUACUGGAUAUGUGCUCCUGCCGCAUGGUGGGGGUUGGAAAGCUCCGGCGGUUGUGGAUGGACUCGCGGCCUAUCUGCUUGGUGGUGGGGUAGUGGCCUACCAAGGCGGCGACGGGUAGCCGGCCUGAGAGGGUGACCGGCCACAGUGGGGCUGAGAUACGGCCCAGACUCCUACGGGAGGCAGCAGUGGGGAAUAUUGGACAAUUGGCGCAAGCCUGAUGCAGCAACGCCGCGUGCGGGAUGACGGGCUUCGGGUUGUAAACCGCUUUCAGCAGGGACGAAGCUUUUUGUGACGGUACCUGCAGAAGAAGCACCGGCUAACUACGUG
rnacentral:rRNA from 1 species